UACAGAGGGUGCAAGCGUUAAUCGGAAUUACUGGGCGUAAAGGGUGUGUAGGUGGUAAGGUAAGUUAGAUGUGAAAUCCCUGGGCUCAACCUGGGAACUGCGUUUAAAACUGCCUAACUAGAGUACUGUAGAGGGUUGCGGAAUUUCCGGUGUAGCGGUGAAAUGCGUAGAUAUCGGAAGGAACACCAGUGGCGAAGGCGGCAGCCUGGACAGAUACUGACACUGAGACACGAAAGCGUGGGUAGCAAACAGG
rnacentral:rRNA from 1 species